UGGGUUGUGGCUCAGUGGUAGAGGGCUUGCCUCACAUGCGUGGCACUGGGUUCAAUUCUCAGCACCACAA
rnacentral:tRNA from 1 species